rnacentral:rRNA from 1 species
UACGUAGGGUGCAAGCGUUGUCCGGAUUUAUUGGGCGUAAAGAGCUCGUAGGCGGUCUGUCGCGUCGGAUGUGAAAACCCAGGGCUCAACCCUGGGCCUGCAUUCGAUACGGGCAGACUAGAGUAUGGCAGGGGAGACUGGAAUUCCUGGUGUAGCGGUGAAAUGCGCAGAUAUCAGGAGGAACACCGGUGGCGAAGGCGGGUCUCUGGAACGCAACUGACGCUGAGACGCGAAAGCGUGGGGAGCAAACAGG